GACGAACGCUGGCGGCGUGCUUAACACAUGCAAGUCGAACGAUGAAGCACCAGCUUGCUGGUGUGGAUUAGUGGCGAACGGGUGAGUAACACGUGAGUAACCUGCCCCUCACUCUGGGAUAAGCCUGGGAAACUGGGUCUAAUACUGGAUACGACCGAUCUCCGCAUGGAGUGUUGGUGGAAAGUUUUUGUGGUGGGGGAUGGACUCGCGGCCUAUCAGCUUGUUGGUGGGGUAGUGGCCUACCAAGGCGACGACGGGUAGCCGGCCUGAGAGGGCGACCGGCCACACUGGGACUGAGACACGGCCCAGACUCCUACGGGAGGCAGCAGUGGGGAAUAUUGCACAAUGGGCGAAAGCCUGAUGCAGCGACGCCGCGUGAGGGAUGACGGCCUUCGGGUUGUAAACCUCUUCCACCAGGGACGAAGCUAACGUGACGGUACCUGGAGAAGAAGCACCGGCUAACUACGUG
rnacentral:rRNA from 1 species